rnacentral:rRNA from 1 species
UACGGGGGGAGCAAGCGUUGUUCGGAUUUACUGGGCGUAAAGGGCGCGUAGGCGGCCAGCACAAGUCAGUUGUGAAAUCGCCGAGCUUAACUCGGAAAGGUCAACUGAUACUGUGCGGCUAGAGUGCGGAAGGGGCAACUGGAACUCUUGGUGUAGCGGUGAAAUGCGUAGAUAUCAAGAGGAACACCUGCGGCGAAGGCGGGUUGCUGGGCCGACACUGACGCUGGAUGACGCGGAAAGCUAGGGGAGCGAACGGG